rnacentral:rRNA from 1 species
UACGUAGGGUCCGAGCGUUGUCCGGAAUUAUUGGGCGUAAAGGGCUCGUAGGCGGUUCGUCACGUCGGGAGUGAAAACUCGGGGCUUAACCCCGAGCCUGCUUCCGAUACGGGCAGACUAGAGGUAGGCAGGGGAGAGCGGAACUCCUGGUGUAGCGGUGAAAUGCGCAGAUAUCAGGAGGAACACCGGUGGCGAAGGCGGGUCUCUGGGCCGUAACUGACGCUGAGGAGCGAAAGCAUGGGGAGCGAACAGG